rnacentral:rRNA from 1 species
AGCGAACGCUGGCGGCAGGCUUAACACAUGCAAGUCGAGCGGGCAUCCUUGUGGUGUCAGCGGCAGACGGGUGAGUAACGCGUGGGAACGUGCCCUUCGGUUCGGAAUAACUCAGGGAAACUUGAGCUAAUACCGGAUACGUGCGAGAGCAGAAAGGUUUAUCUGCCGAAGGAUCGGCCCGCGUCUGAUUAGCUAGUUGGUGAGGUUACGGCUCACCAAGGCGACGAUCAGUAGCUGGUCUGAGAGGAUGAUCAGCCACACUGGGACUGAGGCACGGCCCAGACUCCUACGGGAAGCAGCAGUGGGGAAUAUUGGACAAUGGGGGCAACCCUGAUCCAGCCAUGCCGCGUGAGUGAUGACGGCCUUAGGGUUGUAAAGCUCUUUUCUCCGGGACGAUAAUGACGGUACCGGAGGAAUAAGCCCCGGCUAACUUCGUG